rnacentral:rRNA from 1 species
UACGUAGGGGGCAAGCGUUGUCCGGAUUUAUUGGGCGUAAAGAGCGUGUAGGCGGCCAGGUAGGUCCGCUGUGAAAACUCGAGGCUCAACCUCGAGAUGUCGGCGGAAACCAUCUGGCUAGAGUCCGGAAGAGGAGAGUGGAAUUCCUGGUGUAGCAGUGAAAUGCGUAGAGAUCAUGAGGAAGACCAGUGGCGAAGGCGGGUCUCUGGACAGUUCCUGACACUGAGGCACGAAGGCCAGGGGAGCAAACGGG